AUGUAUUAAGGCACUUAUCUUCAAAGUCUAUGUAUUUCAACUAAACAGGAUGCUAACUAAUCAAAUUUUAAAAUGUACAAAGUUGUAUUAGCUGUUGUUGAAGAAAACCAAGAGAUUUGAGGAAAAUCUCGCAAUAUUAGAUAUUUUCUUAUGAGACUUUCAAGUCUGGAUGUGUGUUUCUGAUACACUUAUAUAAUUUAUGACCUUUUCACCAUGCCAACUAUACUGUUUAAUAGUUUACUCUGUUUUAUCAUUUCUCCAAUAGCCAGAUGGGUCAAGUUUACAACUGAUGCAUUCUCAAAACUAAUGUUUCCAUUCAAUGUGUAAGUAUCACACUCUUUACUUGCAAUAAUGAAUGUAACAUGAAGAUGUACA
rnacentral:lncRNA from 1 species